rnacentral:rRNA from 1 species
GACGAACGCUGGCGGCGUGCCUAAUACAUGCAAGUCGAGCGCAGGAAACUGACGGAACUCUUCGGAGGGAAGGCAGUGGAAUGAGCAGCGGACGGGUGAGUAACACGUAAGGAACCUGCCUCAAGGAUUGGGAUAACUCCGAGAAAUCGGAGCCAAUACCGGAUAGUUCAUCGGACCGCAUGGUCCGUUGAUGAAAGGCGCUUCGGCGUCACCUUGAGAUGGCCUUGCGGUGCAUUAGCUAGUUGGUGGGGUAACGGCCCACCAAGGCGACGAUGCAUAGCCGACCUGAGAGGGUGAUCGGCCCCACUGGGACUGAGACACGGCCCAGACUCCUACGGGAGGCAGCAGUAGGGAAUCUUCCACAAUGGACGAAAGUCUGAUGGAGCAACGCCGCGUGAGUGAUGAAGGUUUUCGGAUCGUAAAACUCUGUUGUAAGGGAAGAACACGUACGAGAGGAAAUGCUCGUACCUUGACGGUACCUUACGAGAAAGCCACGGCUAACUACGUGCCAGCAGCCGCGGUAACAC